GAUGAACGCUGGCGGCGUGCCUAAUACAUGCAAGUCGAGCGAACAGACGAGGAGCUUGCUCCUCUGACGUUAGCGGCGGACGGGUGAGUAACACGUGGAUAACCUACCUAUAAGACUGGGAUAACUUCGGGAAACCGGAGCUAAUACCGGAUAAUAUAUUUAACCGCAUGGUUCAAUAGUGAAAGACGGUUUUGCUGUCACUUAUAGAUGGAUCCGCGCCGCAUUAGCUAGUUGGUAAGGUAACGGCUUACCAAGGCAACGAUGCGUAGCCGACCUGAGAGGGUGAUCGGCCGCCCUGGAACUGCGACACGGUCCAUACUCCUACGGGAGGCAGCAGUAGGGAAUCUUCCGCAAUGGGCGAAAGCCUGACGGAACAACGCCGCGUGAGUGAUGAAGGUCUUCGGAUCGUAAAACUCUGUUAUUAGGGAAGAACAAAUGUGUAAGUAACUAUGCACGUCUUGACGGUACCUAAUCAGAAAGCCACGGCUAACUACGUG
rnacentral:rRNA from 1 species